AGCGAAAAACUGCUAUUAGGUAACGUCAGAUUUUUCGUCCAUAAAUGCCGAACCAUAACGCUAACCCUAAAUCCUGACCAUAAAGGCAAAUGUCAAACAAUAAAGGCAAAUGCAAAAAUAAUUAAAUUUCGACUCGAUGGAUUCUGAUCAAACAAAAUGCCACUGUGUAGUGCAUGA